UCCGUAGGUGGAUAAUUAAGUCAGAGGUGAAAGUUUGCAGCUCAACUGUAAAAUUGCCUUUGAUACUGGUUAUCUUGAGUUAUUGUGAAGUAGUUAGAAUAUGUAGUGUAGCGGUGAAAUGCAUAGAUAUUACAUAGAAUACCAAUUGCGAAGGCAGAUUACUAACAAUAUACUGACACUGAUGGGCGAAAGCGUGGGUAGCGAACAGGAUUAGAUACCCUGGUAGUCC
rnacentral:rRNA from 1 species